AUGGGGUCAAAACCUCCCCAAAUCCCCCCAAAUCCUCACCCUGAGAGCCCCCAGACCCAAAUUUGGGGCAUUUUAGGACCAUUUGGAGCCCUCAAACCCCCUCAAACCUCCCCAAAUUCUCAUCCUCAGGGCCCCCAGACCACAAAUAACCCAAAUUUGGGACAUUUUGGGACCAUUUGGAGCCCUCAAACCCCCUCAAAACCCCCCAAAUCCUCACCCCAAGAGCCCCCAGACCCAAAUUUAGGGCAUUUUGGGACCAUUUGGAUCCCACAAACCCCCUCAGAACCCCCCAAAUCCCCUCAAAACCCCCCAAAUUCUCACCCCAAGAGCCCCCAGACCCAAUUUUGCCUCAUUUUAGGACCUUUUGGAGCCCUCAAACCUCCCCAAAUUCUCAUCCUCAGGGCCCCCAGACCACAAAUAACCCAAAUUUGGGGCAUUUUGGGACCAUUUGCAGCCCUCAAACCCCCACAAAUCCCCCCAAAUCCUCACCCCGAGAGCCCCCAGACCCAAUUUUGGGUCAUUUUAGGGCCAUUUGGAGCCCUCAAACCCCCUCAAACCUCCCCAAAACCCCCCAACCCCUCUCACCUUGAGCGGCUUCAGCGGCUCCAUCCCUUCUCCCUCCUCUCCUCCCUUCUUCCCCCUUCCUCUCCCUCUCCCCCUCGGCCUCUUGGCUCCGUCGGGGAAACCGGGCGGCUCCAGGGGCCGAAUCCUCGGCCUCCCCCGCGGCCUGGGGGGUCCUUCCCUCUUGGGCUUGGUGGGUUUCCUCCCUCUCUUUUUGGGGGCGGCGUGAGCUCCGGGGUGGGGACAGAAAUCGAUGUCGCCCAUGGGCGUCAGCGGGGGCCGGCGGCAGCUGGAGAUGAGGUCGGGGAGGAGGUCGGGGAGACGCCGCGAGUUGAGGCGGAUGUCGGCCGGCACGUCCGCCUUGUCCUCGUCGUCCUCGAACUCGUACUCCUGCGCGUAGGUUUUUUUGGGGGGCGGGAAGGGGUCCCUCUUCCUCAGCAGGUGGAAGGAGGAGGUUUUCAGCAGCUUUUUGGGUUUGGAGGAGCAGAAUAA
rnacentral:lncRNA from 1 species